ACCUCAGUAACGGCGAGUGAAGCGGUAACAGCUCAAAUUUGAAAUCUGGCUCUUUCAGGGUCCGAGUUGUAAUUUGUAGAAGAUGCUUUGGGCAUUGCUCCGGUCUAAGUUCCUUGGAACAGGACGUCAUAGAGGGUGAGAAUCCCGUAUGUGACUGGUGGCAUUUGUCCGUGUAAAGCUCUUUCGACGAGUCGAGUUGUUUGGGAAUGCAGCUCAAAAUGGGUGGUAUAUUUCAUCUAAAGCUAAAUAUUGGCCAGAGACCGAUAGCGCACAAGUAGAGUGAUCGAAAGAUGAAAAGCACUUUGGAAAGAGAGUUAAACAGUACGUGAAAUUGUUGAAAGGGAAGCGCUUGCAACCAGACUUGCAGGUCGUUGAUCAUCCGGGGUUCUCCCCGGUGCACUCGGCGGCUUUCAGGCCAGCAUCGGUUUGAGUGGUGGGAUAAAGGCCUUGGGAAUGUGGCUCCUCUCGGGGAGUGUUAUAGCCCAAGGUGCAAUGCCGCCUAUUCGGACCGAGGACCGCGCUUCGGCUAGGAUGCUGGCGUAAUGGUUGUAAGCGACCCGUCUUGAAACACGGACCAAGGAGUCUAACAUCUAUGCGAGUGUUUGGGUGUCAAACCCAUACGCGUAAUUAACGUGAACGGAGGUAAGAACCCUUAAGGGUGCAUUAUCGACCGAUCCUGAUGUCUUCGGAUGGAUUUGAGUAAGAGCAUAGCUGUUGGGACCCGAAAGAUGGUGAACUAUGCCUGAAUAGGGUGAAGCCAGAGGAAACUCUGGUGGAGGCUCGCAGCGGUU
rnacentral:rRNA from 1 species